UUAGAGUUUGAUCAUGGCUCAGAACGUACGCUGGCGGCACGCCUAACACAUGCAAGUCGAACGAAGUAGCAAUACUUAGUGGCAGACGGGUGAGUAACAUGUAGGUAUCUACCCUUUGGCCUGGAAUAACACGAGGAAACUUGUGCUAAUACUGGAUAAGUCUUUACGGAGAAAGCUUUAUGCACCAUUGGAUGAGCCCGCACUUGAUUAGUUUGUUGGUGGGGUAAUGGCCUACCAAGACUUUGAUCAAUAGCUGAUUUGAGAGGAUGAUCAGCCACAUUGGGACUGAGACACGGCCCAAACUCCUACGGGAGGCAGCAGUGGGGAAUCUUGCACAAUGGAGGAAACUCUGAUGCAGCGAUGCCGCGUGAGUGAAGAAGGCCCUUGGGUUGUAAGGCUCUUUCGUCGGGGAAGAAAAUGACUGUACCCGAAUAAGAAGGUCCGGCUAACUUCGUGCCAGCAGCCGCGGUAAUACGAAGGGACCUAGCGUAGUUCGGAAUUACUGGGCUUAAAGAGUUCGUAGGUGGUUGAAAAAGUUGGUGGUGAAAUCCCAGAGCUUAACUCUGGAACUGCCAUCAAAACUUUUCAGCUAGAGUUUGAUAGAGGAAAGCAGAAUUUCUAGUGUAGAGGUGAAAUUCGUAGAUAUUAGAAAGAAUACCAAUUGCGAAGGCAGCUUUCUGGAUCAUUACUGACACUGAGGAACGAAAGCAUGGGUAGCGAAGAGGAUUAGAUACCCUCGUAGUCCAUGCCGUAAACGAUGUGUGUUAGACGUUGGAAAUUUAUUUUCAGUGUCGCAGCGAAAGCGAUAAACACACCGCCUGGGGAGUACGACCGCAAGGUUAAAACUCAAAUGAAUUGACGGGGACCCGCACAAGUAGUGGAGCAUGUGGUUUAAUUCGAAGAUACGCGCAGAACCUUACCAACACUUGACAUGUUCGUCGCGACUUUAAGAGAUUAAAGUUUUCGGUUCGGCCGGACGAAACACAGGUGCUGCAUGGCUGUCGUCAGCUCGUGUCGUGAGAUGUUGGGUUAAGUCCCGCAACGAGCGCAACCCUCACUUUUAGUUGCCAUCAUUUAGUUGGGCACUCUGAAAGAACUGCCAGUGAUAAGCUGGAGGAAGGUGGGGAUGACGUCAAGUCCUCAUGGCCCUUACGUGUUGGGCUACACACGUGCUACAAUGGUAUCUACAACAGGAAGCGAAACAGCGAUGUUAAGCAAAUCCUUAAAAGAUACCUCAGUUCGGAUUGCACUCUGCAACUCGAGUGCAUGAAGCUGGAAUUACUAGUAAUCGUGGAUCAGCGUGCCACGGUGAAUACGUUCCCG
rnacentral:rRNA from 1 species